AUCUUCAUCAAAGUCCUCAUUAUAUAAAUAUAUAUAUAUAUAUAUACACACACACACACACAAGAACAAGCUCUCAAUCACUCCUAAAUCUUAAUUUUUUGCAAUCAUAAUUGAUUGUUAUUCUUGUAAAUUUGUAUGUACUUGUGCAGUUUCUUUUUCUUUGCACUGAAUUUUGUGAAGGAGAAAAUUAUCUAGUGAACCAUUUGGUUUUGUGUAUUAAGCCUGCUUUUGAAACAGAGCAAUCUCUGAUGAACAUAUCUCAAAUUCUGCAUCUAAACAACUGAUUAAAAUAGAAUUGGUUGCAAGGACAUGAGGCUUUUCAGUCUCAAUCUCCUUUUGAUACAUAUGCCUUUUAUUUUUUGAGAGGCAUUCUCCAACCAAGAUUGUUUUUACUUCCUCAAAUCAAUCACUGCCCUAUUCCUCAGUCAUUACCAUAAAUCUUAUCACUUAAUAAAGAAAAAAAAUAAUGAAAGAAAAAGGACACACACAUACAUGUACAUGUAUUACAAUGUAGACAAAUGUCACAGGUUCUAAUUCUUGCUCUGUCCAUUGAGCCCUUUUAAAUUUGUAUACUUUUUGAUGAAGAUUGUUCAUUACUAUUAUUAUUUUAUUUUUUAAUUGGUUGUCGGAGCAUCAAUAAGUUAGAAAUAGACAACUGUCAGCUUUUCAUUUGUAGACGUACAAAUGGUGAAAUGAGAAGAAUUCAUAUAUACCUCACAAGUGAGAACCCAAUUGAAGGUCACUGAAUUAUUAUGGUGGUAUCUGAGACACAUAAAUGUGCAUAUGUAUAUGACAUUAAUGGUCCCAUUAAAAUAAAAUAAAAUAAAUAUUUGACUUUUCAAAUGGAUGAAUAAGCAUUCUUAAAAUGGAAUGCCAAGUAACAAGAACAAGGUUUAUAGCACAUAAAAGCAAGUAUGAUAUAAUCUCUGAGACAUGUUUUUGGGUUGCAAGGCUCCAUACCAUGCAAUUAGAUCUGGGAACAUAAGUCCAAAGCUUUAUUAGUAUUUUAAUUCCUAAUUUUUUUUUAUAUAUAAACUUUCCCCUCACACCCAUAGUGUCUCCCCAAGACAAAAAGAAUGCAGCAGGCUUUGAAGCAGGGCCUUUGCAAUCAUGGGUACAUGAUUCAAUACCAAAACCAAUGUAAUUUCUCUUAUUUUUUUUAAACAUUUUUAAAAAUCUAACCACAAGGAAGUAAAUGAGAUGGAUUUUAUUAUUUCUCAUCAUUUUCAAUGGUUGAAAAUUCCAAAUUCAUCCUGCAACUCAUUGAUUUCACAAGGUAAAGCAUUUAUUUAUUUAUUUAUUUAAUAAGUUUCAUUCUAGUAAAUUAAAGAUUUGAAACACACUACACAAAUUGUGCUAAUUUUUUUAAAUAAAUUUAUUUCAAUAUUCGAAAAAAACAUUCAAGUACCAAUUAGUUUAUACCAAAUAAAUUUAUUUUGUGAUUAAAAUAUAAAGAAUCUAUUUUCAAAAUUUGUGUUUAGUAAAUGUCUUUGAAAUUAUCUUGUUCCAUUUUUCUGGAUUUCAUAAAAUUCUGUAAAAAUGGGUCAUGCUGAAUAAAUUGUAUCGUCUGAAAAACAAUUGAUGGAAAAACACUAUCUUGUAGAGAUAGUAUUUAAAUCCAUAACUUGUGAGAUAUAUUUUUUUUCAUAUCUUAAAGUUUGUCGAAAAAUUCAACAUUUUUUUCGUAUCUAGAGUAAAAUCAGAAUUAAUAUUUAUAAUCAACACAAUUUUACAAAAGUUAUACUCAUAUUGUAAAAAGGUAAUAUAAUAUCAGCAACAGUAUCUUAUAUGGAUGCUUGUAAUUAGAAAGAUUGAGAUAAAAUAAGAUAAGAAUAACGGAAAAUUCAAAAAAUCCAAAUUAAAAUUGUUAACAUAUAUAUAUAUAUAUAUAUAUUUAUAUAUAUAUACACACACACACACACAUAUACAUAUGAGAUUAAUGGCUAUGAAAUCUAAUCUUAAAAGGCAAGAAAAAAUGCUCUUUAACAAUGAGAUAAUAAAAAACUAAAAAAACUAAAAAAUAUAUCCAAUUACAAAUCAUGUAAUCAAUUUCAUUGAUAUAGACAAAACGUUUCCAGUCAAGUCAUUAUUAUUGAAACUAUUACAAUCUAUCACAAAAAAUAGUACUGAACUAUGAUGGUUUUGAUUUUUAUAUGAGAGGUUUAAUUUAUUAAUAUUUAAAAUUGAAAAAUUGAAAAUCUAUGCGAUUUUUACAAGUCAAAUCAUUUCUGUUUUUAAAAUAAAUAAUCUCUUUCUUUUUUUUUUUCUUUUUUUUUUCCCUUUUAGGUCGAAAAAUUGCAUGAGGGUUUGAAAACGUGUUAGUAAACUAUAGUAGACUAAAUACUUCAAAUUUUCUAAAUUUGGUGCUUAUAACCAUGGCUCAUGACAUAAUAUAUCAUGGAGAUUUUUGUGAAUUUUAUUCUUUGAUUGACAAUGGUGUCUUUCUUUUAAAAAUUAAAAAAAUGAGAAAGAAAUUAAAUACCACAAAAAUCAGUUUUAUCAAUUAUCUGAUAACAAAGAAAGCAAUGUGACACCUUUCUUACACAUCAAACAACCAAUUGCACAUAAAGGCCUCACCUCCAAAACUCUACAAUGUUCAUGUAUUUGAAUAUAUAUACAUAUAUUUACAUACACACACAUACAUACAAAAUUAUUAGACACACCAUAGGGUUUUUCCAAAAUCAAAUGUCAACACUAGGGCCAAGUUAAAAGUCAACAUUCAAUUUGCCCUUAAUGAAGAGCCUGAACCAAGAGAGUCAGAGGCAGAAACAUGAAAUAAAAUCC
rnacentral:lncRNA from 1 species